UCAACGGUUUUUAUCAAAACCACACUCAAAUCAAAAUCAGUAGGAG
rfam:Crinalium epipsammum PCC 9333, complete genome.